rnacentral:tRNA from 1 species
GGCUGGUUAGCUCAGUCUUUUAGAGCGUGGUGCUGAUAACACCAGGGUUGUGGGCUCGAUCCCUGCUCGGUCC